UACGGAGGGUGCAAGCGUUAUCCGGAUUCACUGGGUUUAAAGGGUGCGUAGGUGGUUUUGUAAGUCAGUGGUGAAAGCCCGGAGCUCAACUCCGGAACUGCCAUUGAUACUGCUUAACUUGAAUCAACUUGAGGUGGAUGGAAUAUUACAUGUAGCGGUGAAAUGCUUAGAGAUGUAAUAGAACACCAAUUGCGAAGGCAGUUCACUAAGGUUGUAUUGACACUGAGGCACGAAAGCGUGGGGAUCAAACAGG
rnacentral:rRNA from 1 species